ACACACACUCUGCAUCCACUACACUGACACACACUCUGCAUUCACUACACUGACACAUACUCUGCAUCCACUACACUGACACACACUCUGCAUCCAAUACACUGACACACACUCUGCAUUCAUUACACUGACACACACUCUGCAUUAACUAUACACACAGCAUCCACUACACAAACAUCCUGUAUUCACAGUACACACACUACAUCAACCACACAUUCAAACACUCUGCAUUCACUAUACAGAGACACUGCGUCUAAUACACACACUACAUCCACUACAGACAC
rnacentral:lncRNA from 1 species